AAAAUAAUAUGAAAAAAAAAAAACGAAUCUACAUACAUAUCUUGAUGAUGAUGUCCUACACAACUCAAACAACCCGUGGGGAAGAAGGAGACUCACGCCACAUAACCUGGAGAAAUAAUAAUGAAUCGAUUGGUCUAUGUGUAUAUAGGUACUAUGUGUGUAGUAGUAGUAAACAAUCCAACACGUUUACUCCAGAGAAUCAACAACAUGCACAAUGUAAGAUAAUGAUCCGUGAUAGAUUAUCCAUUUGUAUACCAUGUUACUCUAAUACUUCUCACUCACAAGAUGUUUUUGGCCAUUAUUUUCUGCAAACAAAUCCGUAUAUAUAUUCAGGGUAUCCUAAUCUAGGUUCUAGGUUUGAAAUAUAAAUUUAAACGUCUACCAACAUUACAGGGUGGGGAUUUAAAUCCGGAAAAAUGAAGGAUAAGGACAAUUCAGAGAGAAAUUUUGGAAACUAAGCUUAACAUUGACAAGGCAUAGAUUUGAAUAAAAAAAAGGGAAUAUACAUAUUUUAGUUACACUUCUUAAGAUAAAGAUAUGCCUGGAAUAUGAAAUGUUUUGAACCCUUCUAUUUUGAGAGAAGUGACAAAAUACCCCUAUUUAUGAAUGUUACAGAGGUUACAUUUGCGUGGAAAUGCACAAAGUGAAUGUAUGUACUAUUUGUAAUAGUUUUCCCAAAAUUAAUUAAGGCAUUCACAAAUCUUGUGCUCUCACAUGUGAAGUCCAUAGUGAAGUCAAUCACUCAAACCAACCACCUCCAGCUUCAACCACAGCCUCCGACCCGGCACUUCAUGAGGAACUCCUUUACCAUGUUGGCCACUGCCAUCGAGUAUGGAAGUCAGCAAGGAGUCAACAGGGUUAUUUGCACGUUUAUUGCACUCUCGCUCCCCAUUCAUACUAGUCCAAGGGGUUCAGGUUACCAAGUUGUUCUUUAGAAAAAUGUAUGCUUACGAAGAUUAUGACAAUUUUCACGGUCAUAACAAUUAUGUAAAUGCUCAUUUCCAAUUGAAAGCGUUAUCUAUAUUAAAUACAUUUUCCGGAAAAUCAUAGACGGAUCCUUUGAUAUGCGUUAUACUACAAAUGCCUGUAUAGCAGAUGUGUUAUACCUUGUAAAGUAUUCCUUACAAUAUGUAAUGGCCUAUAUAUGUACAAAAAGGAAUGGGGCAACACAAAUAUUUGUUACUCAAUGUAAGCUUUUUCUGGUCCAAGAGAUUCUCAAAGUGAAUUCUUUUAAGAGAGAACAUCCAUAAAUCUUAACCAAAACUAUGUGUAUAGUAAAUUAAUUUCAUCACAAAAGUCCUACUCAUUUUGGAUCGAAGAACCACAUGUUGACAAUUUCAGAGAGUUGAAGAUAAAUGCAUAUUCAUUGUCAAAGUGAUGUACAGCGAAAACUGUAUUGUGGAUGUAUGUUUUUUUCUUCUAUAUUUGUCUUAUUGAGCAAAUAUAAGGAAAAAAGUUAUGAAAAUUUGAUAAGCCGCUUAUACCGCACAUCCCUUUUUGACAUCUUCAGAAAGGAAAGAUCAAAUAUGUGCUAUGUUAUUCUCUUUUUAUGCUCCAUACUUUAGAAAAAAACACUUUAGUAAUGUUUUUUAUACCGAGGUUAA
rnacentral:lncRNA from 1 species